rnacentral:rRNA from 1 species
UACGUAGGGUGCGAGCGUUGUCCGGAAUUAUUGGGCGUAAAGAGCUCGUAGGCGGCCUGUCACGUCGACUGUGAAAACCCAGGGCUCAACCCUGGGCCUGCAGUCGAUACGGGCAGGCUAGAGUAUGGUAGGGGAGACUGGAAUUCCUGGUGUAGCGGUGAAAUGCGCAGAUAUCAGGAGGAACACCGGUGGCGAAGGCGGGUCUCUGGGCCAUAACUGACGCUGAGGAGCGAAAGCGUGGGGAGCGAACAGG